AAAAAGAUAAGCUAAUUUAAGCUUCUGGGUUCAUACCCCAGCCAUGGGUCUUAUAACCCUCUUUUUA
rnacentral:tRNA from 1 species